ACAUUUUAUUUGUUGUUGCUUUUGUCAAGGCUUUGAUGGACAUCUUUAUGAGCCAUGGUGUGCCAGAGGUCAUUUUAACAGACAGAGGGCGGGAGUCCUGCAACGAGGUUAAUGCAGCCAUGUUCCAAAGGUACGGUGUCAAGCACCGUAUGACUUCCGCCUACCACCCUCAGACGAAUGGUUUGGAUGAGAGUACCAACCAGACACUGAAGAGUGAUUGGGAAGACUCUUGAUGGGCAUCAGAACAGGUGGGAGGACAAUUUAAAAAAU